GGGACGUGACCUUUCGCACACUUUAUCUUCCGUGUCGAAUAGGUCAUGUUCCGGUUGCGGUGUCGUUUCCGUUUCGUACAUGCUGCAAGGUGUGAAUUCGGAGCAAACGACGACAGAAACGGCUCUGCUAGUGCUGAAAUAUCGAUCUUACUCGGUUUUUUAACGGGGUUCAUGUGGGAUACAUACAGGAUACUGCAGAGAUACGGAGGGAUACGGCAACAAUCGAGCAGAAGUUAAAAAAUUGUUAGGAUCCACGAGGGAUACGUAGAAAAUACCGUGGGAUACGGCGGGACACUGUGGGAUACUGUGGGUACAACCGUACAAGCAAAAAAAACAUGUCUCGAAAAAUUAAACGUGUACGAAAUGGUCCAUAUCUACGCUAUGAAGAGUGGGUUCUGCUUGAUAUGCUAUGCCAAAAAUGCUCAGUCAAGUACGUAGUAGG